rnacentral:ncRNA from 2 species
AGUAACCACUGGGGGUGCUGAAAAGCUGAGAGGGACGAAUGUCUUAACCCCGUCACCUGAUCUGGAUAAUACCAGCGUAGGGAAGUGGUGCGAGACAAUU